rnacentral:lncRNA from 1 species
GUAGUUCUUGUCCCAUAGGAUGACUCCACCCAGUACUUCUCCGAGUGUCCUCUCAUCUUCGGGUCCAGCUAUGUCGAGCUCCAUAUCAUGAAACCCCGCCAUGAUUUCAUCCACCCCGACUUUAGCAAAGCCAGCUGGAAUCUCACGGUCAUGCCAGCGUGCAUUAGGGCCAGAAGGUAAAGCUUGUCCGACGGCCACCUUCAUGGAU